UACGGGGGGAGCAAGCGUUGUUCGGAUUUACUGGGCGUAAAGGGCGCGUAGGCGGCCUGCUAAGUCGAACGUGAAAUCCCCGAGCUCAACUCGGGAACUGCGUCCGAUACUGGCAGGCUUGAAUCCGGGAGAGGGAUGCGGAAUUCCAGGUGUAGCGGUGAAAUGCGUAGAUAUCAAGUGGAACACCAGUGGCGAAGGCGAGUCCCUGGAAAACUCCUGACACUGAGGCACGAAAGCUAGGGGAGCAAACAGG
rnacentral:rRNA from 1 species